AAUCAUUUUAUUAAAUCAUAUUUAUAAUAAACAUAUUUUAUUAAAUCAUAUUUAUCAUAAAAAUAUUUUAAAUACUUCAUACAAAAUGAUGUUAAAGUUUUCAUCUUAACCAAAAUGGUUUUUGAAGUAAGUUUUCAAUUCUGCCUCAGAAUAAUCGAUUAUCGGUAUAUGCAUAAUCGAUUAUGCUGUAGACCGUUGCCAGUGUUUGAACACUGCCACAGAA
rnacentral:lncRNA from 1 species